rnacentral:rRNA from 1 species
UACGAAGGGGGCUAGCGUUGCUCGGAAUCACUGGGCGUAAAGGGCGCGUAGGCGGCGUUUUAAGUCGGGGGUGAAAGCCUGUGGCUCAACCACAGAAUGGCCUUCGAUACUGGGACGCUUGAGUAUGGUACAGGUUGGUGGAACUGCGAGUGUAGAGGUGAAAUUCGUAGAUAUUCGCAAGAACACCGGUGGCGAAGGCGGCCAACUGGACGGUAACUGACGCUGAGACGCGAAAGCGUGGGGAGCAAACAGG